UACAGAGGGGGCAAGCGUUGUUCGGAAUUAUUGGGCGUAAAGCGCGUGUAGGCGGCUUUGCAAGUCGGGUGUGAAAGCCCUCAGCUUAACUGAGGAAGUGCGCCCGAAACUGCAUGGCUUGAGUACCGGAGAGGAUGGUGGAAUUCCCGAAGUAGAGGUGAAAUUCGUAGAUAUCGGGAGGAACACCGGUGGCGAAGGCGACCAUCUGGACGGAUACUGACGCUGAGACGCGAAAGCGUGGGUAGCAAACAGG
rnacentral:rRNA from 1 species